rnacentral:rRNA from 1 species
GUGCCAGCAGCCGCGGUAAUACGUAGGUGGCAAGCGUUAUCCGGAAUUAUUGGGCGUAAAGCGCGCGCAGGCGGUCUUUUAAGUCUGAUGUGAAAGGUCAUGGCUCAACCAUGGAAUUGCAUUGGAAACUGGGAGACUUGAGUGCAGAAGAGGAGAGUAGAAUUCCACGUGUAGCGGUGAAAUGCGUAGAGAUGUGGAGGAAUACCAAUGGCGAAGGCAACUCUCUGGUCUGUAACUGACGCUGAGGCGCGAAAGCGUGGGGAGCAAACAGGAUUAGAUACCCUGGUAGUCCACGCCGUAAACGAUGAGUGCUAAGUGUUAGAGGGCUUCCACCCUUUAGUGCUGCAGCUAACGCAUUAAGCACUCCGCCUGGGGAGUACGGUCGCAAGACUGAA